GGAGAGGGCUAGCGUUAUUCGGAAUUAUUGGGCGUAAAGGGCGCGUAGGCGGAUUAGUAAGUUAAAAGUGAAAUCCCAAGGCUCAACCUUGGAAUUGCUUUUAAAACUGCUAAUCUAGAGAUUGAAAGAGGAUAGAGGAAUUCCAGGUGUAGCGGUGAAAUUCGUAAAUAUUAGGAGGAACACCAGUGGCGAAGGCGUCUAUCUGGUUCAAAUCUGACGCUGAGGCGCGAAGGCGUGGGGAGCAAACAGGAUUAGAUACCCUGGUAGUCCACGCUGUAAACGAUGAAUGUUAAAUAUGGGGAGUUUACUUUCUGUAUUACAGCUAACGCGUUAAACAUUCCGCCUGGGGACUACGGUCGCAAGGUUAAAACUCAAAUGAAUUGACGGGGGCCCGCACAAGCGGUGGAGCAUGUGGUUUAAUUCGAUGCAACGCGAAGAACCUUACCUACUCUUGACAUCCAGAGAACUUAGCAGAGAUGCUUUGGUGCCUUCGGGAACUCUGAGACAGGUGC
rnacentral:rRNA from 1 species